AAGUUGUUGCGGUUAAAAGCUCGUAGUUCGAGCUCAGUUCCGGACUGGCCGGGGAGGUCACCGCCCGGUGCUUCCCCGUCAGGCUCCGAACAGCCUUCGUGAGCGGAGGCCAAGCCGGUUCUGCCGGGGUGCUCUUUACCGAGUGUCCCGCGCGGCCGGCCAGUUCACCUUGAAUAAAUGAGAGUGCUCAAAGCAGGCUACUCUCGAAUACAAUGCCCGAAUGUUACCUGCAUGGAAUGAUGGAAGAUGAUCUCGGUUCCAUUUUAUUGGUGGUGGGAGCCCGAGGUAAUGAUAAACAGGGACUGUCGGGGGCAUCCGUACUACGACGCGAGAGGUGAAAUUCAGUGACCGUCGUAGGACGAACAACAGCGAAAGCAUUUGCCAAGAAUGUCUUCGUUGAUCAAGAACGAAAGUUAGAGGAUCGAAGGCGAUCAGAUACCGCCCUAGUUCUAACCCUAAACGAUGCUGACUAGCAAUUCGCCGUCGUUAUUCCCAUGACGUGGCGAGACGCCCCCGGGAAACCUCAAGUCUUUGAGUUCCGGGGGUAGUAUGGUUGCAAAACUGAAACUUAAAGGAAUUGACGGAAGGGCACCACCAGGAGUGGAGCCUGCGGCUUAAUUUGACUCAACACGGGAAACCUCACCAGGCCCGGACACCAGAAGGAUUGACAGAUUAAGAGCUCUUUCUCGAUUUGGUGGGUGGUGGUGCAUGGCCGUUCUUAGUUGGUGGAGUGAUUUGUCUGGUUAAUUCCGGUAACGAACGAGACUCUGGCCUACUAAAUAGUCGACGGGCGUUUUGGUGCAUGGGCCCCGUUCGACACAGUCUUCUUAGAGGGAUGAGCAGCGAGUAUAGCUGCAGGAGAUUGAGCAAUAACAGGUCUGUGAUGCCCUUAGAUGUCCUGGGCCGCACGCGCGCUACACUGAAUGGGUUAGCGGGUUGUCCUUCUCCGAGAGGAGCGGGAAAUCGCGUGAAAACCAUUCGUGAUAGGGAUUGGGGCUUGCAAUUGUUUCCCAUGAACGAGGAAUUCCCAGUAAGCGCAAGUCAUCAGCUUGCGUUGAUUAAGUCCCUGCCCUUUGUACACACCGCCCGUCGCUACUACCGAUUGAAUGAUUUAGUGAGGCCUUCGGACUGGCGGUCUUGGACUGGGGCACCGGCGUUCUCGAGCAAUCGGGUGCCGGUGACCCGCCUGGACGGGCCGGAAAGAUGUCCAAACUUGAUCAUUUAGAGGAAGUAAAAGUCGUAACAAGGUUUCC
rnacentral:rRNA from 1 species